CCCGCCACUUUCCAUUCCGCUACCGACAGCAUCAUAUACACCUCCGCCCCGCUAUAGUACAAGCAAGAGACAUGCCGUCGGUUCCCACCUGCCAGCACGGAUCGUAUCACCAGUGCGAGUGCUACGGUCACAAUACGCAGCUUCCCAACUACCGUCACGAUAUCAGCAACCCGCGUACGCUGCAGGGAUAUUAUGCCCCAAAUGGCGGGUGCCCCUGCCCUGGCACGUGCGGCGCGGAAAAAAAUGGGCUGUACUGCUCAGGCCGCGGAGCAGACGCGUCCGCCAUGCCCAAGCUGACCUUUCGCGCCGCGGACGGCCCACACACAGUUCACACGGCCGCGGACGUCGACGGGAACGGCCGCGACCCGGCAACAAGCAUCCGCACCGCCUUUCCCAACUCGCGCAACUACGGCGGCACGGUGGCCCAGCGUGGCCCCGCCACUCUGAGCACGAGGGCACAACUCGGAGCAUCUCGCAAGGCGCGUGCCGAGGCCAAACGCGAGGAGCGCGCGCAGGACCGCAAAAACUUUUUGCGUGGUGUCCUGCGGGAUGAGAUGCUUGCCCGCAUGGAUGCAGAAGGGAAGCGGGCGGCGCUCGAGGCGGAUAUGGGUCUCAUGGGCACCCAUCACGGCGAAGAGUACGAAGCAAGUCAGCGGGCGGCGGGCAGCAUGCGUGGUGGGCUUGACUCCACAUCGCGUGACCCGGACACCGUCCUCACCCUCGGAGAGCAAUACCGCGGGAUCAUGGACGAACUGGAGUACGUGGCAGACCAGCCUGUCGGCUCCAAGUACAACAUCAUUCGUCUACACUACCUCGUGGAGGAGGAGGAUCGGUUGAGCCGGCUCCGUUUGCAGGAGCGCAUUCAGAAGACGGCGGAGGCCAUGCAGAGCAAAAAGUGAUGGGCAUUUAUGUUCCCAUCGUGUUUUGUUCUUCUGUGGCUCAGCAGGUCUGUAAUAUGCGUCUUAUUCCCCCCACCCCGUGUCCAGCAGAAAAGCACCUGCUGCCCUGCGAUAAGCUUGCUCACACAUGCCGGCACAUAACCUGUUAUGUCACCCGUACUCUACCCCACCUCACCCCCUUCCCCUCGUCCAUGUUGUUCUGUGCGCGUUUUAUGCAGGCAACAAUUCACCCUCACUCCUUUCUCUCUUUCUCUGCCUGACCGUCCGUCCGCCCCCCCCUCCGCCACUCCCUCUCGCCUGGUCUUCUCUCUCCCGCUGUUGAUCUCAUGUAUUAUGAUGUGGCUUCUCGUGCUCAUCCUGGGCUGCCGAGUCAAAGUAGCUCACGCACCUCCUCAACGGCGCCCACGGAGCGGCUCAAGACGCCUCUUCGUUGGUAGAUUGACUUUCCUUUCGCUGGCGAUAUGUGCCCUGCGUGCUGCAUUACGCCACGGUGCGUUUGUGUGCGUGAUCACGUUCGACGUGCUACGUCCAAAGGCGCCUCCUCUCUGCCCACCUCUCCUGCACGCGCCUCAGAGCCGCAUCUUCUGUGUAUUACCUGUCAGCCC
rnacentral:misc_RNA from 1 species